rnacentral:rRNA from 1 species
UACGGGGGGGGGCAAGCGUUGUUCGGAAUUAUUGGGCGUAAAGGGCGCGUAGGCGGUGCGGUAAGUCUGUAGUGAAAUCUCUGGGCUCAACUCAGAGUCUGCUAUAGAAACUGCCGUGCUCGAGUGUGGGAGAGGUGAGUGGAAUUCCCGGUGUAGCGGUGAAAUGCGUAGAUAGUCGGGAGGAACACCCGUGGCGAAAAGCGGCUCUC